CAGCCGCACGGUAAUACGGAGGGUGCAAGCGUUAAUCGGAAUUACUGGGCGUAAAGCGCACGCAGGCGGUCUGUCAAGUCAGAUGUGAAAUCCCGGGGCUUAACCUGGGAACUGCAUUUGAAACUGGCAGGCUAGAGUCUUGUAGAGGGGGGUAGAAUUCCAGGUGUAGCGGUGAAAUGCGUAGAGAUCUGGAGGAAUACCGGUGGCGAAGGCGGCCCCCUGGACAAAGACUGACGCUCAGGUGCGAAAGCGUGGGGAGCAAACAGGAUUAGAUACCCGGGUAGUCCCUGUCUCUUAUACC
rnacentral:rRNA from 1 species